CCUACGGGUGGCAGCAGUGGGGGAUAUUGCACAAUGGGGGGAACCCUGAUGCAGCGACGCCGCGUGGGUGAAGGAGCGUUUCGGCGCGUAAAGCCCUAUCGGUAGGGAAGAAGAAGGACGGUACCUGACUAAGAAGCCCCGGCUAACUACGUGCCAGCAGCCGCGGUAAUACGGAGGGGGCAAGCGUUAUCCGGAUUUACGGGGUGUAAGGGGGGCGCAGGCGGCAGCGCAAGCCAGGUGUGAAAGCCCGGGGCCCAACCCCGGGACUGCUCUUGAAACUGCGCGGCUGGAGUGCGGGAGAGGCAGGCGGAAUUCCUGGUGUAGGGGUGAAAUGCGUAGAUAUCAGGAGGAACACCGAUGGCGAAGGCGGCCUGCUGGACUCCGACUGACGUUGAGGCCCGAAAGCGUGGGGAGCAAACAGGAUUAGAUACCCGGGUAGUC
rnacentral:rRNA from 1 species